AGACCCGAAACCCGGUGAUCUAGCCAUGGGCAGGUUGAAGGUUGGGUAACACUAACUGGAGGACCGAACCGACUAAUGUUGAAAAAUUAGCGGAUGACCUGUGGCUGGGGGUGAAAGGCCAAUCAAACCGGGAGAUAGCUGGUUCUCCCCGAAAGCUAUUUAGGUAGCGCCUCGUGAAUUCAUCUCCGGGGGUAGAGCACUGUUUCGGCUAGGGGGCCAUCCCGGCUUACCAACCCGAUGCAAACUGCGAAUACCGGAGAAUGUUAUCACGGGAGACACACGGCGGGUGCUAACGUCCGUCGUGAAGAGGGAAACAACCCAGACCGCCAGCUAAGGUCCCAAAGUCAUGGUUAAGUGGGAAACGAUGUGGGAAGGCCCAGACAGCCAGGAUGUUGGCUUAGAAGCAGCCAUCAUUUAAAGAAAGCGUAAUAGCUCACUGGUCGAGUCGGCCUGCGCGGAAGAUGUAACGGGGCUAAACCAUGCACCGAAGCUGCGGCAGCGAACGUAUCACUUAAAGCGAUUCAGCGGGUUACGAUUGACGGAGCGAAGCGACGUCAAAGC
rnacentral:rRNA from 2 species